UGGGUAUAUGAUAAUGAGAGCACCCAGUGGGGAUGGCCCACUGCAAAGGAAGUUGCUAUAAGGUGGAAGAGAUGAUUUUUCAGAAGCAGAGCUGAUUGCUUGACCUGAAAACAAGCAUCUCUCCAUCCUAUAGAAAUGAAAUGUGUUUCUGCAGCAAGGAAAUCUGAUGGACCAUGUGACAGUGAAGGGCCACAACAAGAAGCUGCAGUCCAAGGGACCGACCUACUGUGAGGAGUGACUUUUCUCUUACUCCUGGACUCCAAGCUGCAGACAUAGCUGAGGUGCCAGGAACGCGCGUACUGAUGGUGUCACAAGACAAAAAGCAGACAAAGGACAAAUGAGUCUCGAGUUUACUCCUACCGUGCAAUCCCGACACUGCAUUCCCUUGUUUGGGAUAUGGUUGUGGGUGAUCGUCCAGCUAGUGCCAACACUGCACAUCAUUUAAUUUCGUAAGAUACAAACCGGCAAAACUGGGGCACUGCUGGACCUCGUUUUAAGGCUGAAACCUGUAUGAGUGAACUGCAGUUUUCCUUCGACAAUUGGCUUUAGGAGUUGAUUUCAAUGGUAAUAGAACUAAACCAGUAUCUUUACCCUUUUAUGCAUGAACCACUUAAAAAAGCCAAAAACCUAUGACCUCACGUGAACUUUAUAUUACAAACUGUUUUGCCCUGAUUUUUCUUCUGUCUCCUCUUCCUUUCUGUUCUGUUCUCUCCUCUUGCUUUCUCCCUUAUUGCCAGUCCACCUCAUCUCCCAAUUUUCUGCUUCCUUGGGGCACUUCCUCAGGCCAGGGGGGAGCUCCCCCAGCUGUCUCCAGUGUACUCCCCUUGGCCAAGAAGGACUAAGGGCUGCUGUGCUUUGCCUCUGAACUGUUCUCAUGCAAAGAAAGCAACGUAACUUCUACCACCACUAAACAGUACAUUAGGAAACCAUUCUAACUAUUAUUAACUAUUUUACUAUGCUGCAUUUACCAACUAUGUUAGCUGUUUUAAUAGCUGCAGAAGUCAGUUGUCCAGCUGUUCUAAGAAGCAGCAGCAGUGUACAGCAGCAGAUGUGACAGGCUAAGAUACACACUAAAGUAAGCCCCUUUCAAACCUUUGACCAUCAGUGCACCAAAGGAACCAGGAACAGUUGUUUUGUCCGUCCUUCCUGCAAAUCUAAGAGCUGCCCAAUACCCAAGGUGGCAACAGAAGUAAUAGCAAUGACAGAAGCAGCCACUCAGGUAUGAUGGUGACGUGCCUGCUGACAAGUCUGGGGAUUUAUGCCAAAAUACAGUAUUUUGCUGUACAGUAAUAAAGUGAUAAAGACGAUGCUAACUUUGGACAGAGAGUGACUGAAGACAGAAACGGAAGGAUGUGAGGAUAAGGAAGCAGUGCAUUCCAGCAGCAGCAUCCAGGGGGGAUGAGCAGCUUGGAAAGUUCUGUUGCUCAGGUGCUACCGCCUUACAAAGCCAAGGAAGUUUUCAACAAAAUCUACAAGGAUCUUGGCAAUAUUUCAUAAUGAAAACACUCUCACUAAAGUUAACAAAAUAUUAAUGAUUGUUCCUUUAAAUUCAAGAGCCCACACUGCAGGAUAGCCACCCCUUUUGUUUUUUUUCCACUGGCUGAACAUGCAUAUUGCUUACUCAGUGGAUGGUACCACGACUCCUGAAAAGUCCAGGCUUCUGGGGACAAGGACAAAACACGGCUACCCUGGGAGACACCCACUGAAGACAGGAGGAGGAUACAAUAGAUACUUAAUCCUGGAUUCUAGUUUUUCAGAUGUCCUCUGUCUUUUUAGGCCAAAUCAAAUACCUGCUGUGGAAAAUUGUUUCUCAUCGGUAGUAUCAGAGGAUUAAGAAUGCGGACAGAUUGUUUUCUGAUUUUCCGUUCCAUCCUACUGUUCAACCACAUGUAAGGUUUGCCUCAAUAUCUCUAUUUGUAGAACAGUACUACAAAAUAAACACAAUGAUAUUAUUUGAGGUUGCUACAUUAAAGGUUGUAAAGUGCUCUGAGAUACUUGCAGGAAUGAACUAUGAAUUUGCUAAUCUUUGUUACAGUAGACAUAUGGAGUGGUUUAUUGACAGGCUGGGGAACCUUUGAAACAAGACCAUUACUGGUCUUAACCAUUAAUCAUUACUAAUUCUGAUGCCUCUUUAAAAUGAAACUGAAGCUGUACAGGGAAAACGAUUUGCAAUCAUUUCAUUGCAGUAUUUGAGGAUAGUUUCUUGCCCCUUUUUUUUACCUUUACUUAUGAAGCUAUGCAUGAUGUUCUUGACAUUGUCUGCAAACAAUGGACUAUGGAUUUUUAAUGUCAGGUACAUGGUUCUCUUUCUGUUGACUUAAAUUAUCCCUUCCCUGUGUUCAAUGUGCUAAAAGAAAACAGUAACCAUAUUUACAAUUCUGGAACUAUUACCUGAUGUCAACAGCUUAUCUAAGCCAUUUCCCAAGAAGAAAGCUUAAUGAGAAUUCAAAACAAUUUGAAAGAGGUUAGCAAAAAGAAAAGUAAGUUUGGUAAACCCAGCUUAGAAGAGAGGCUAAGCUGCAACAGUAAAGUUUUGUAGCAGAGCUAACAGCAUCAUCGAAACCCUCAGUCAUACAAGCAGCCCUGAAUCCUGGGACUAAUCUUUUUGACUAAUCUGUUUGCUAAGGACUGCCAGGUGGGCCAAACAGUCCCCAUUAUAUAGCUUUUAAUCACUACUACUUCGAGAACAAAAUUUGCAUCUUACCGAUAUCUUCUGUGGUCACUAGUAAAUUCACUAAGAUUAGAAGGAGUAUUCAAAUAUUUCCAAUAUGCUAGAGCAAAUGGAAAUGGCUGCAGCUCUGCUUAACCAAGAGAUUAUUUAUAUACACACAAUGGAAAUCUCAAGAAGUGUCCUGAAUCAAUUUCAUUAGUGCUUUCCCUGUUUCUAACGUAAUCCCUAACACACAGAAAGACUGUACCUCUCUUUUAAAGAAAGUUUUUCUUCAUUAUUGGAUCUUGCUCACAUAUGGGCAUUUUUUUGUUUUUUAACUACAUCAUUGCUUACAAAAUAAUUAAAUGCAUGUUAAUGGGAAGGAGAUGCAAUGAACACUGUAAGUCUAAAGGGAGCAGAAUCCUGUCAUCAAAAGUUUCCCUUGCCCCUUUUCCCUUAUUUCCCACUAUCUCUUUUAUACAGAACUUCAGCUGACAUUCAAAAGUAGUUGUUGAUAUGGUGAAUACUGAACUGUGCUAAUUGAAGUGACUCUCUCUUGUUGCUGUUUGCCUCUUAACUAUAAUUAAAAUUUCUAAUUUGAAUUUACAAGUGUGCCUGUAGUGUGUUGUUAUCACAGAUGAUAUGCCAGAAGAGAAUUAUGGCUCCCUCCCAGAAGAUGAAGAACGAGGGCUCUGGCUCACAGGUGAAUACACAGGAAGAAGGUGGUUCCGCAGCUAACACUGAGGACUAGCUUACAAACCCCUUAGAGGCAAACAGUGGCUACCACAUAACCAUGUGACAGAUAAGCCACAGUCCGCGCAGUGAGCGAGUGUGACGGAUGGGACUUUCAGACAUUUUUGUCCUCAUCAUUCAUAAUUUACUCAAGCACAAUGCCACUACUGAUCAAUAUUAAAGGCCCUCCGUGAAGGAAGCCAGCACAGAACACAGUCACAGAAUGUGGAACUUGGCAGGGCAUUUAAGAAUCAUACCCAACAUUUCAUCAAAUUCAUAUUUCCAG